rnacentral:rRNA from 1 species
AGAGUGGCAGACGGGUGAGUAACGCGUGGGAAUGUACCUUCCAGUUCGGAAUAACCAUUGGAAACGAUGGCUAAUACCGGAUACGUCCGAGAGGAGAAAGCUUUAGUGCUGGGAGAGCAGCCCGCGUAUGAUUAGGUAGUUGGUUAGGUAAAGGCUGACCAAGCCCAUGAUCAUUAGCUGGUUUGAGAGGAUGAUCAGCCACACUGGGACUGAGACACGGCCCAGACUCC